rnacentral:rRNA from 2 species
CGGUGGGAUCGAUGAUUGGGGUGAAGUCGUAACAAGGUAGCCGUAUCGGAAGGUGCGGCUGGAUCACCUCCUUU